UUGAGUUGAGAAUUAUUGUGUGGUAUUGAUAAAGGUUCAAGUUUGGGGCUGUUGGGAAAGUUGAAAAAGAAAAAGAUAAGCAUUGAGCUAAGGUGUUGAGCAAAAGUAUGAAAAGAUGAAAAAGAUAGAAAAGAUAGAACUAAAGAUAAGCUAAAUCCAAAGAAAAUGGGAAAGUUAGGAAUGAGUGAGAUUGGAAAAAAAAAGAGUUGUACUUGAAGUAUGAAUGUUUGAAUGACUCUCUUAACUCAAGUAUUUUGUGAUCUAGAAAAACCAAUUUUGGUUGUUAGCCCAGCCUCAUUAUAAGCCUUGGAAAGUCCUUGUGAUGACA
rnacentral:lncRNA from 1 species